CGUUGAGCUAAACGGUACUAAUGAACCGUGAGGCUUAACCUUACAACGCCGAAGC
rnacentral:rRNA from 1 species